GACGAACGCUGGCGGCGUGCUUAACACAUGCAAGUCGAACGAUGAAGCUGGAGCUUGCUCCGGUGGAUUAGUGGCGAACGGGUGAGUAACACGUGAGCAAUCUGCCCUUGACUCUGGGAUAACUGCGGGAAACUGUAGCUAAUAACGGAUACGACACCUUCGGGCAUCCGAUGGGUGUGGAAAGAAUUUCGGUCAAGGAUGAGCUCGCGGCUUAUCAGCUAGUUGGUGAGGUAACGGCUCACCAAGGCGACGACGGGUAGCCGGCCUGAGAGGGUGACCGGCCACACUGGGACUGAGACACGGCCCAGACCCCUACGGGAGGCAGCAGUGGGGAAUAUUGCACAAUGGGCGCAAGCCUGAUGCAGCAACGCCGCGUGAGGGACGAAGGCCUUCGGGUUGUAAACCUCUUUUAGCAGGGAAGAAGCGAAAGUGACGGUACCUGCAGAAAAAGCACCGGCUAACUACGUGCCAGCAGCCGCCGUAACAC
rnacentral:rRNA from 1 species